rnacentral:rRNA from 1 species
CGCACUUCGGAUGUACUAAGCCCUGCGGAGUCCUUGUAGUAUACAAGGCAGACGGCUCAGUAACGCGUAGUCCCUUAACCUAUGGACGGGAAUAACCUCGGGAAACUGAGUAUCCUGCCCGAUAGAACAUUAUGCCUGGAAUGGUUUAUGUUCCAAAUGAUUUAUCGCCGUAGGAUGGGACUGCGGCCUAUCAGUUUGUUGGUGAGGUAAUGGCCCACCAAGACUAUUACAGGUACGGGCUCUGAGAGGAGUAGCCCGGAGAUGGGUACUGAGACACGGACCCAGGCCCUAUGGGGCGCAGCAGGCGAGAAAACUUUGCAAUGUGCGAAAGCACGACAAGGUUAAUCCGAGUGGUUUCUGCUAAAGAGACCUUUUGUCGGUCCUAGAAACACCGAUGAAUAAGGGGUGGGCAAGUUCUGGUGUCAACCGCCGCGGUAAAACCAGCACCUCAUGUGGUCAGGAUGAUUAUUGGGCCUAAAGCAUCCGUAACCGGCUCUGUUAGUUUUCGGUUAAAUCUGUACGCUCAACGUACAGGCUGCCGGGAAUACUGCAGAGCUAGGGAGUGGGAGAGGUAGACCGUACUCGGUAGGAAGGGGUAAAAUCCUUUGAUCUAUUGAUGACCACCUGUGGCGAAAGCGGUCUACCAGAACACUUCCGACGGUGAGGGAAAAACACUGGGGGAACAAACCAGAUUAAAUACCCGGAGAAACCCCAUUGUAAACAAUACAAACUCACUGAUUGCCUUGGCUUGUGGCCUAAUGGAAUGGUUACAGGGAAGCCAUUUUAUUGGCCCCCGGGGAAAUUCUAACCCAAUUAUCAAACUCCAAAGAAAUUG